rnacentral:lncRNA from 1 species
UGGAAGCAGCAAUGUCUGGCCAACACCAUGAGACAUCAGCCACUGGUUGCAGUGGACUAAGACUAGUGGCUCAACUCAGGGAUCAUCAUUAUCAUCAUCACCUGUUUGAUCCGAGAGCAUUAUUACUCCAUUAAAAUUGGUUACUGUGUUCAUUUCAUAUUACAUCAUUUUAUAUCAUUUCAAGUACAUUAUAUCUAAUUCUUUUGAAAUAAAGAAAAGGUGAUAGUUACUCGUUAAUUAUCUUUACGAUUUAUUGGUACCAUACUUUCUCUUUACAAAAAAAACGCACUUAAAUAGUUGAUUAUGCGCAUCUACAUUUAUUGUGUUUCUUAUUUUUAAUGAAAGUAAGAGAUUCGAACUUAGAAUAUCUUCGAACAUUUGAUUAGAUGUAAUUUCCAUUAUCCUUUUAAAGCUAGUUAUAGGCUAUAUGAGCACUUCAAUUGACAUUUGGGAAAAUGUCAUUUUCUAGAAAGUAAACUGAGAAUUUUUUUUCCUCCCUUUGUCAAAAUCCUUAUAAUUGAACAUUUUUACAUGCGAAAAAAUCAUGUAGUUUUAUGGGCUUUGAUUUUCACGUACUUUGUUUAACUUCUUACACAUCAUUUUAAUUUAUGAUCAUCAAAUUAAAUAAUUUUAACAAAAAUAAUAAACAAAAUUAAACAAGUGAGAAGAUGAAACGGUGCGUGUUUAUCGUUGCAUUCAAAACAUUUCUUAGUUAUCAUUGCUCAUGAUUCUUCAAUUGAAUUUGGGACUGGUUUUCAGUUUUCUACAUCAUUUUAUAUCAUUUCAAGUACAUUACAUCUAAUUCUUUGGAAAUUAAAAAAGGUGAUAGUUACUUGUUAAUUAUCUUUAGGAUUUAUUGCUACCAUACUUUCUUUUUACCAAAAAAAGGCACUCAAAUAAUUGAUUAUGCGCGUCUACAUUUACUGUGUUUCUUAUUUUUAAUGAAAGCGAGAGAUUCGAACUCAGAAUAUCAUCCAACAUUUUAUCCUAGUAAAGCUAGUUAUUGGCUAUGAGCACUUCAAUUGACAUUUGGGAAAAUGUCAUUUUCCAGAAAGUAAACUUAGAUUUUUUUUUUU